rnacentral:lncRNA from 9 species
AUGGUUUUUGUCCCUAUCAAGGCAAGGGGGCUGCCUCACCUUCAGAAGGAAGAAGAGGGAAUGGCAAAGGUCAAAGGUCAAAGGGAAAUGUUAGCUGAGUUUGUGGCCCUUGUUUUUAGGGAAGCAACAGAUGUCCUAGAAGCCUCUUCAACUAGUCUGCUUACAUCUUCUUUGCCAGAACCAAAAUACGGCCCCUUUGACCCACAAAGGAAUCUGGAAAGAGGGAUGGGCUUGAGGGUCGGAGAGACCCUGAGCCUCUCUCUGAGCUCCCAUGGUGAUGAUCGGAGGUGCUGGACUCUUGUCCAGACCUGGCUUCCCUGAUGACGUCACUGCUCCUUCUCAGAUCUCCCGGAGCAGAGCUGCGGCAGUCUCCGUUGCCUCCCUGCAAUGUCGGAGCAAGAUAACUCCUGCAGGACACCUGCAGUGAUGCCAGGGCAAUGGAGCAGGCUUCACUUGCCCCCACGGCUCUCACCGGCAGGUAACUUUGAUCAACUGCUCUUACAAAAGGGUGAGGUUGUAAACAGUCAGAAGCACACAGUGUUGAGAACCAGAUUGGUGCCCCUGAAUCCCCUCGGCAUUUCCCGGCUAUGUGGCUUGUAAGUUACUUGAUUACCUCUCAGUUUUCUCAUCUGUAAAAUGGGAGAUGCGUCAUAGGGCCUAGGUGAUAGGGCUGUUGUGAGGAUUUACACAGGCUUGAAGCCCCGAGAACAAUGGCUACCUCCCUUGUGAGUGCUUAAGUCAGCUCCUCUCUUGGCCAUCUUUUGUGAUUAGUUUGCUUUUAUAGACUCAUUCUUUUGAACCUUGAAAACUAGCUUUCCUAGGGGUGGUUCUUGGGUUCUGUUUGUUUUGCAUGAAUCCUGUCGUUAUCAAGGAAUGCCUCGGGCCCUGCUGUUGAUGCAGAGCAAGGAAACUAAUAGCUAAUAUCUGAGCUCUGAACUCUUCUGCUUUCUAGGUACAGGGUGAGUUGGGCCUCCUGGAGUUGUGCAAUAUGGUAGCCCUGGGCUUCGUCAACUUGGGAGGGAUGGCUUGGUAAAUAGUGAGGAUCACUUUGUUUUCUUCCCAGUUGGGGCUAAGCCUGCAGGUUUGAAAGCCACUGUUUUACUUGGCGCCAACCCUACUUUCUGUACACACAUUUCAGGCAUGUGCGUACAUACACACAUGAUGGCGAAAUGUGUACCAUUCUCAACAUGGUUCGCCACCUUCUGCUUGCUGCCCUUCUGUCUUUCUCCAACUUGCCCACUAAAACACAUCUGGGAACAAGAGGUCAAAGCACUCGGGUUGCCAUGGUAUUGAGCAGGUCACCUCCCCACCCCCCAGCAACUUGGGCCUUCAGCUUUCCCUGCUUCUUCUUCUUUUUUUAGGGCUGCACCCUGGCAUAUGGAGGGUCCCAGGCUAGGGGCUGAAUCAGAGCUACCGCUGCUGGCCUGAGCCACAGCCACUGCAACGCAGGAUCCAAGACGGUUCUGCAACCUACACCACAGGUCCUGGCAAUGCCAGAUCCUUAACUCACUGAGCGAGGCCAGGGAUCGAACCUGCAACCUCAUGGUUCCUAGUCGGAUUUGUUUCUACUGCGCCACGACGGGAACUCCCCAGCUUUCCCUUCUAAGAGAUGAUCUCUAGGGGCCUUUACAGCUUUCCCCCUUUCCAACAUUUGCUGAAAGAUGCUCUUGGAUUUUGGAAGCUCAGUGUUCUUGGGAGAUUUUAGUUUUUAAUUUUUUCUUUUGAGGAUGGCUUUAAAGGAUUAGACAUCUUCUUGUUGCUGAAAAAAUGCUUAUCAAAGAAGCAAAGGCCGAGUUCUUUUUCCUUCCCCAAAUGUGAUGUUUAAAUAAAAUUCAGUUUCAUGGAGCCAACACAUGGAGUAGAAAUGGAUAGGGUUUCUCCUAUCUUUGAGCAGUCCCGGAGGAGGCUGUAAACAGCAGGGUAUCCCUUCAACCAGAUGGGCUGCUGAGCUUGGAGAGCCAAGCAGAUGCAGAGAAUACAGAAAUCAGAGGCAGAAUGAGGAAAGGAUGGUUGCCGUGGUGUUGGUUGAUUCUCUUGGCUGAAUAUCAUGAGCCUGGAGGCCAGGGAGAGGAGGAAGGCGAUCAGUCGUGCUGAGAGGCUCCCCAACAGGAGCUGGUGGGCUGUGACGUCCCAAGUCACAGUUUGGGGUCUGAAGGGAAAAUGGCCCAUGGAGCUCACUGUCGGGGCAAGACCUUCCCGAGAGCUGGGCUGGCCUCAGGGAACCUUGAUACAGGGCAGGGUUGGCUGGUACUCUGCUCCCCUUUGGUAGCUUUGCCUCAUUUUUCUUGGUGCUGUGAACAGCCUCAGAUGUCCAGGGCUCCUUGCUGCUGCCAGAGUCCUUCCCACUGCCCUAGCUAGGCCAGUCUUCAUUUAUCCAGUGACAUGCUUUUUUCAAUUUUUUUUGCUUUUUGGGGCUGCAUUCGUGGCAUAUGGAAGUUCCCAGGCUAGGGGUCAAAUCAGAACUGCGGCUGCUGGCCUAGACCACAGCCAUAGCAAUGCAGGAUCCAAGCCACAUCUGUGACCUACACCACGGCUGACAGCAAUGCUGGAUCCUUAACCCACUGAGCAAGGCCAGGGAUCAAACUCAGCCCCUCAUGCAUCCUAGUUGGGUUCGUUAACUGCUGAGCCAUGAAAGAAACUUCCAAAAUAUUUUUUAUUAGAAUAUAGCUGGUUUAUAAUGUGCCAAUUUCUGCUGUACAGCAAAGUGACCAGUCACACACACACACACACACACACACACACACACACACACACACCCACACACACAUUCCCUUUCUUAUAUUCAUUGUAGUUUUUUCCAAUCCAGUGACACUCUUGAUUUCAAUUUUUUUUGGGGGGGGCCCUUCCUUUACCAUCAGUUUUAUUAUAAUUUUCCUCGGGGUUAGAGUGGUAGAAUAGAGAGUCGUGGAUUCAGUCUUGGAUGGCGAUUGUGGUCAUUGUGCUCACAGCAAUGGGAGCUCAGGCAAGUUGCUUGAUUUUCCUCAGCCUCAGUUUUCUCCCCUCCGAGACCUGUGCAGUAGUACGAAACUUAGAGCAUUGUUGAGAGUUAGAUGAGACACAGAAAUUAUCACAAAAAAACAAACUGUCCGCAAUAAAUGUUAUUUCUGAUCCAUCUUAUACUUCUGCACAUUAGAAUCAGCAGAGUUUUAAAAAUAUUCCAGUGCCUGGGCUCUGCCCCACCCCCGCUGGGCAUUGGUACUCUUCAUUUAUAUUUUUAGGGCUGUACGCUUGGCAUCUGGAGGUUCCCAAGCUAGGGAUCAAAUCAAGAGCUGUAGCUGCCGGCUUACACCCCAGUCACAGCAACGCCAGGAUCCAAGCCAUGUCUGCAACCCACACCCACAGCUCACAGCAACACCAGACCCAUAACCCACUGAGCAAGGCCAGGGAUCGAACCUGUGUCCUCAUGGAUACUAGUCAGAUUCGUUUCCAGGAACUCCAGGAAUUGGUCCUCUUUAACAGCUCCUCCUGUGAUGAUGUGCAGCUGAGAUGAGACCCCUCCCCCCCCGCAUUGCUGAUGAAGAGUUUGCUACCCUCUGCUCAAGGCUGCUUCUAUUCCCGUCCCAUUGACCCUGACUCCCCAAGUCAAGCUCUCUUCUGUGUUUUAAUCUGAUGAAUAGCCAGUGAUGAAUUGAGGUUUGUGUGCAGGAGCCCUCCUGUGGGUCCUGGAUAUUUGUUUUCACUGACACCCUCACAGGAGCAGAGCCAUAUUCUCUUCUGGUACAAAGGGGAGGGGAAUCGUGGAUGAAGCUUUCCUGAAAUGUUGUGGCAGAGACCGUUGGCUGAAAAUGAGACAUACUCUGGGACGCCGGCUGAGAAUCCGAGGGGCCAGGUGGGACUGGUGGGCUGCUUGGGCAGAUUUCCUGUCUUCAUUCAGUGACGCCGAAGCAGGAAACUUGGCAACCAGACGAACUUGGUGAGUUUAGAAAUUGGGAGAUUG